GUAGUUUGGUCAAAGACUUCUCAAAACCUUUGACCCCUUUCAUAUCUUAUCUCCCAAAAAACAGAGCCACUGUACGGCUAGCGGUUUGGGCUCCUUAAUUACUUCAAAAAUCUGCACCCAGUUAUCUCAAUGGCUCGCGUCGCCUCAAGCUCCGUCGGCCUCCAUAGAUUCCGACCCACCUUUCGAACCCCUCAACCUUCCCGGCUCACGAAGACCACCCCUCUUCGCUACCCCAGCAAGACCCAUAAACUUCGAGGCAUAGCUUGCUGCCAAACAAAGCCUGACCCAGUCGAGACCUCCUCGUCGGAAAAGUUGGUUGAUGGCAGUACCGAUGCCCAAGCAACAAGUUCCUCCGUGAACAAUGGUCCUCCGAAAUUCCCAAACAAGGGCUUCAACAAGCAGAUAGCAGUAGUCUCUACUCUCGCUGCGGUGGGGCUUUUCUUAUCGGCCCGAUUAGAUUUCGGUGUUUCUUUGAAGGACCUAUCUGCCGCCGCAUUACCUUACGAAGAGGCUCUUUCAAAUGGGAAGCCCACUGUUGUGGAAUUUUACGCAGAUUGGUGCGAAGUAUGCCGGGAAUUAGCUCCAGAUGUCUACAAAGUUGAGCAACAAUUCAAGGACCGUGUGAAUUUUGUUAUGCUGAAUGUUGACAACACGAAAUGGGAACAGGAGCUUGACGAGUUUGGCGUUGAGGGUAUUCCUCACUUUGCAUUCCUAGAUAGGAAGGGGAAUGAGGAGGGCAAUGUAGUUGGCAGGCUUCCAGGGCGGUACCUGCUUGAGAAUGUGGAUGCCUUGGCACGUGGGGAAGAAUCCAUUCCUCAUGCCCGUGUUGUGGGACAGUAUUCGAGUGCUGAAUCAAGGAAGGCACACCAAGUUGUCGAUCCUCGUAGCCAUGGGUAGACUCAGAUGUUUCCUUCCCCUGCGGGAUGCAAACCGUCAAUUCAUCACUGAGGUCUUUUAUACAGGGAAACCUAGAAGUGAAAUCUCCAUUCAGAACUCCUGGGUUUGCUGCUUUCGGUCGCGUGCUAGUGCACCCAUACCCGAUUGGACCAUGCUGGUUAAUAAAUAUCUAAAAGCUGAGGGAACUCAUUUGUAGCUACCCAGAACCAUAUUUCUUUAGAAAUCUCUUGAUAUACGCUUUUUUCCCGAA